UACGUCUGCUGCUCUCGUUCUCCGGAUUUAUUGGGUUUAAAGGGUGCGUAGGUGGUUAAUUAAGUCAGCGGUGAAAGUUUGUGGCUCAACCAUAAAAUUGCCGUUGAAACUGGUUGACUUGAGUAUAUUUGAGGUAGGCGGAAUGCGUGGUGUAGCGGUGAAAUGCAUAGAUAUCACGCAGAACUCCGAUUGCGAAGGCAGCUUACUAAACUAUAACUGACACUGAAGCACGAAAGCGUGGGGAUCAA
rnacentral:rRNA from 1 species